rnacentral:lncRNA from 1 species
GGGUGUAGUGUUUUUAUUUUCAUUUAGAAAAUUCCUUUUACUUACUUUGAGAAAUGACAUCUUGGAAGCAAUGAUUCAAAUCGGUUUUUAGACUAGGCACGGUGCACGGUUCAUGAUGAGAAAAUGGUGAUUUGAUUGGAAGCACUUUAAAUUUCACUGAGAAAUGUUGUCACGGUUUAAGUUCAAUUUGAAGGAAAGCAAAUAUUCACUUUUAUUUUAAAAUGCUGUCACGGUUUUCAAUAGGUUUUGUUUAUCUUUUCUUCAUGCUUGAACCAAGAGUUAUUUUUAUAUUGGAAUGUAUGGAAGUAGCUUAGUCAUGU